ACCUCUAGCCAGGGACGCGCGCUCGGUCCCCCGCCGUGCGCCCCCGGUCCCGCGCCCAGGCUCCCGCCCCUGGCCUCCUUACCAGCCACUUGUCGCCCAGCUGCGAACUGGAGCGGGAGGCGGCGGCCGGAGGGCCCAGGACAGCCCCGGGAGGGCGGCGAGGCGGAGCAGGAGCGCCCCGGCUCCGGCCACAUUCUCAGAGUCAGGAAAAGGGGCGAGAGGCCACAUGUCUCCCUCUCGCCCAACUGAAAACGAAACGGCGCUCCAGCAGAUUGGGUGGAAAGAGCUGGGUCUCUUUUCUCUGUUUUUCACGCUAGAAAGGGCUUGUAAACAUUGUUCCUUUUAAAAUGACCUACCCCAGGCAUUUGUUUGGGCACACUUCUGUCCUGGGGUCAUCGUUCCUAGGUGGCUUCGGACCUGGGACUUUUCCUGUAUCUGCACAUUGUCGUUUUAUACACAAUUGCCAAGGUGGGACUGCUUUCAACUUUACUGUGCUUGAAGCUGCAAAGCGGAUCCUGUUACAGUGCAAAGAAGAAAUGGCAAACGGAUAACAGCUACUGUGCCUAGAAGAUGGUUCUGCCCUGAUGUUUCCUGGAAUAAUGCUGAGGACUGCCUUUCGGGUAGCCGCCCUAUUCAGUUCACUUCAUCUCGGAAAUACCUGACCCCUGCCUUGGAUCCAGCGGCCCUCCUGAGAGCUGAGGAAGGAGGAAAUCCUAUGUGUCUGCUCCCGGAGCUGCCACAACCCAUCUUCCCACAACUCGGAACUUGGAAAAAGGAACCCAGGACACGACUUUGCUUUUCUUUUGGACCUAGUUGAAGUCACAGCUUGGAGGAAACCAGUUUGCACUAUUUGAUGAGGAAUUUGGCCACCAAACCACUGAUACUUUCCCAAAGAUACAAGUUAACAGGAUAUGCUUCUGGCCUGUUUCUGGAUUCUAAGGGUAGAACCAGCAUAAAACUAGUCAGUCCAAGUAUUUCUAAAGAUCCACAGACACAGUUCUCCUGGAUUUGGGAAGCCUAGAGAUAUUAGCACAAUAAUUAAGGCCCAAGGUAAAAGCAACAGCAGCCUGAAAAUGCAAAAGACCAUACAUUUUAAUGCAACUUUUAAAAGCCUUUCCACUGCACAGUGAAAGAAAACCACAAACUCCUUGUUUAAUAAGUGGGAUCACGUGCUUUUAACACGAGGAAAAGGUCAAUCUGAAGCAACUGAUAUGGAACUGCCAGAGUAGGAGUUGAAAAUCUUCCUAAACUGCUGGAGGAUACACCUCUGAUAGCUUGAGACAAAUAUCCUCUUGAUCAUUGUUUCACCAUAUUUGUCUUUGCUCAUGGAGAACCAUUUUGAUCCGUGGUUUAGCCUCCCAGGUGAUUGAACAAUACCGGUGAUCUGAGGCAGACCCUCUGUGACGGAUAACAGAAAAGAAAAUUGAGGAUCAGAAAAUACGCACAAUUUGCAAAAACCAUGGGAAAGAAUAUUGAUUGAACAUCUACUCAAGAACUGCAAAACAGAGAUUACCUGACCUAAAGCAUUUAUAUUGCCAAUCAUGUUGGAGAGUCCAUGUGGUGAUUUCUGAAAACGAGAUGUGAGAAAGAAGAGGAUAAUUUAAGUCUAGACCUACAGAUUGUGCUGAUAAAGUGAUGAAGAACUACAAUCUUCUUAGUCAUUUCAUUGUAUAAGUGCAAUAAAGGAUUUUGUGUCUUUCCUGGCAAACAACUUGUGACCACAGUGAUGGCUCCAGCAGAAUGGAAAAGACCCUUUACCUCACAUCUCAGAAGUAAAGAUGCUGAUUAUUUGACAUCGCCAUUGGAAUCUCAAAACAGUGUAAAGCAUUUGCUAAAAAGAGUCACUUUCUGAGAAAUGACUCAGAAUUCGACUUACGUACUAGCAGAACUUAUUGCCCAUAAAAGGAAAGGCCACACUUUUUGUGAAAACUUAAUAAUCCCUAGGAUGUAAAAUUAUACUGAGUUAAAUCCUAGUCCCAUUUUUAGUACAAGAAACUGGAAAAAAAUAAUCCACUCUCAAAUGGUAAGACAAAUUGAGAUAUUGCUGAAAAGCCUCUUGACCCUGAAAAGUUCUGAAUAAUAAACUGAUAAAAGCAGCAGCAGCAUCUAACUUGACACCAGUCAUGUCAUUUG
rnacentral:lncRNA from 1 species